GGAUCCAGACUUUGAUUAUGGCUCAGGAUGAACGCUGGCGGCGUGCCUAACACAUGCAAGUCGAACGGAGUUCUUAAGGAAUGCGGCUUCGGCCAAAUGAUUUUUGAACUUAGUGGCGGACGGGUGAGUAACGCGUGAGCAACCUGCCUUUCAGAGGGGGAUAACAUUUGGAAACAGAUGCUAAUACCGCAUAAGAUUACAGUACCGCAUGAUACAGUGAUCAAAGGAGCAAUCCGCUGAAAGAUGGGCUCGCGUCCGAUUAGAUAGUUGGUGAGGUAACGGCUCACCAAGUCGACGAUCGGUAGCCGGACUGAGAGGUUGAACGGCCACAUUGGGACUGAGACACGGCCCAGACUCCUACGGGAGGCAGCAGUGGGGAGUAUUGCACAAUGGGCGAAAGCCUGAUGCAGCAACGCCGCGUGAGGGAAGACGGUUUUCGGAUUGUAAACCUCUGUUUUCGGUGACGAACAAAUGACGGUAACCGAGUAGGAAGCCACGGCUAACUACGUGCCAGCAGCCGCGGUAAUACGUAGGUGGCAAGCGUUAUCCGGAAUUACUGGGUGUAAAGGGAGCGCAGGCGGGAUAGCAAGUCAGCUGUGAAAACUAUGGGCUCAACCCAUAAACUGCAGUUGAAACUGUUAUUCUUGAGUGGAGUAGAGGCAAGCGGAAUUCCGAGUGUAGCGGUGAAAUGCGUAGAUAUUCGGAGGAACACCAGUGGCGAAGGCGGCUUGCUGGGCUCUAACUGACGCUGAGGCUCGAAAGUGUGGGGAGCAAACAGGAUUAGAUACCCUGGUAGUCCACACUGUAAACGAUGAUUGCUAGGUGUGGGGGGUCUGACCCCCUCCGUGCCGGAGUUAACGCAAUAAGCAAUCCACCUGGGGAGUACGGCCGCAAGGUUGCAACUCAAAGGAAUUGACGG
rnacentral:rRNA from 1 species